rnacentral:rRNA from 1 species
UACGUAGGGUGCAAGCGUUGUCCGGAAUUAUUGGGCGUAAAGAGCUCGUAGGCGGUUUGUUGCGUCGGCUGUGAAAACCCGGGGCUCAACCCCGGGCCUGCAGCCGAUACGGGCAUGACUGGAGUUCGGCAGGGGAGACUGGAAUUCCUGGUGUAGCGGUGAAAUGCGUAGAUAUCCGGAGGAACACCGGUGGCGAAGGCGGCUUCCUGGACCGACACUGACGCUGAGGCGCGAAAGCUAGGGGAGCAAACGGG